AGGAGUUCAGUAAAAGCUUAUUCAUCAAUCAUCAACUGAGAUAAUAAGAUCUGUAGUUAAGGAUACCAACAAAUCACUUGCGACUAAAAGUCACGGAGAAAUCUCCAAAUUUCCAUGUCUUUUCGCAUAUAAGUGUGUUUUCCGGCAUCCCAUUCGAUAUGUGAUGUCUAAAAAUCAAACUUCUAAGCCUAAACCAACAAAGAGCAAAAGAGCAAAUCUAACAAGAUUGCCUAUCUGAUGUUUAGAUGCCUAAACUAACCAUGAUGCUUACGACUUCAAUCCAUCAAAAAUAGAAGAUUGCCAGGCGAGUACUCUCAAAAGUUCCAAAAACAUCAGCUAACAGAUCUUGCAACUAAAAGUUCCUACAACCAUCUUUGUUCAGGUAAUGCUACUUAACUUAGUGAUAAGGCCAGAUGCACUAAUUUAAUGAACUGAGGUUGCAGAAAGAUCAAGGUCAUAAUCCUUGAAGGCUCUACAAUAACAAAUGAGUAAGAAUGCUUGCAACAAGCCUGAAAAGAUUAGUAUGUUGGGUUCUUCUCCAGCUAAUAUGGAUGUGUUAAGAACAAUUUGCCUCUUAAUAUCUAUAAACGAAAUGUACACUGCGAACAUCAAAUGAAACCAGUCGAGAAACUAAAUUAGUCU